rnacentral:lncRNA from 1 species
AGUAAAACAUUUUGGUAGACAGUCUGGAUUCUUUUGUCCUUAGUCAUGAGGCUGAUGUAAUAGCAUUCAACUAAUUUCAUGGUAAAGACAGUCACAGUUCCCAGAGAAAUCCUUUCCCCUUGCACCACUGGUGACAUUCCACUCCUACUGCAGCCCUUCAGGAAUUGGUAGAGAUAGAAGAUACCAGUGUGGAGUAGUGACCAUGUUCUGGGCCAGAAAGUCAAGUCCUGAGUUUAUUUCUCGUCCUGCCACAACUCACUCUGACCUCAGACAAGGAGAACACGGAACCUUCUCUGGGCCCCAGUGCCCCGUCCACAAAGGGACAUUGCCUAUCAGCCUACACAAGUCUACCAGCUGUUGUGAUGGUGAAAUGAGAGAAUAUAGAGAAUAGUGCUGCAUAUGCCAUCAAUGUUAAACAAAAGGUGGGGGGUACCAUUUGAGUAUUAAGAGGUUGCUUUAAGAACUGUGAUAGAAUCUGUGAGGAGCUCCCCAAGAGAUCAAAGUCUUGAUGGACUAUUGGGAGGUUUUGUGGCGUCUCAAGCCUUCUGAGGCUGGCUUCAGGGCAGACAAGGGCCCAGCGCCUUCAGAGACUGUGAGGCUGCACAGGUGGGCCCAAUCCAGGAGAGCAAGCCGUCCAAACUCCAGGAACUGGCUUUCAUGAAAAUCUGGAAGAAACCCAACCUGCCACCCAUCAUGCGUAACGAAAGACAAACUCACAACCUGGCUCAAUUUUCUCUCUGCAAAAUAUCCCAUCCUGCUGGGGACACCCUAGACACACUUUGGUGUCCUUCCCUUAUCUAGAUCUGAUUGAGCCUUCCCUGGCUUUCCUCCUUAUUCGCUGUUUUUGUUUUGUUUUGAGAUGGGGUCUCACCUUGUCACCCAAGCUGCAGUGCAGUGGUGCGAUCUCAGCUCACCGUGACUUCUUCCUCCCAGGCUCAAGCGAUCCUCCCACCUCAGCCUCUGGAGUAGCUGGGUCCACAGGCAUGUGCCACCAUGCCCAGCUAAUUUUUGGGCGGGGUAUUUUUGGUACAGACAAGAUUUCACCGUGUUGCCCAGGCUAGCUGGUAUCGAACCCCUGAGGCUCUGCAAGUCACACUAUCACUUGAGAGCGUCAUGUCCUCUCUGGCCUCCACCAGACUGAGUAACCAGGAGUCCCUCAUAAGGUAAACUACUGACAGUGGAGAGCCAGUGCUUGUCCCUCAGGUUAGCCAAUGUCGCCAUCUAGAGGCAAUUCAAAAGUCUCUUGCAGUGAGGGGUAACUAUUUUUGUAAUUCUUGAAAUGUCCUUUUUCUUGCCCUUAGAAGUUCAGAAUCCCUCUCACCCAUGGUGUAGCUUUGGCUGCGUCUGUGACCCCAGGGAAGCCCUCCUCCAAAGCCAGGCUGGCACAAUGCCAAGGCACCAGCAUAGCUGCUUCCCGUCGGUUCCAAUGCCCCCACCUGUUAUAUUCAGUCACUACACCAGAUCAUAAAAAAUAAAUCUUUUAAUUGCUUUGUAAUUGGCACAGAUGGUGUAAUUCAAACUCACAUUUUUAUUUAAUAGACUCUGAAAUAUCAC